CUGAUUCAAGUUCCUGUUAGGAUU
rnacentral:piRNA from 1 species